rnacentral:rRNA from 1 species
CCAGCACCUGCGGUAAUUCCAGCUCUAAUAGCGUAUAUUAAAGUUGUUGCGGUUAAAAAGCUCGUAGUUGAAUCUUGGCGCGGUUGGGGUCGGUCCGCCCACUGGGUGUGCACUGGCUCGGCCGUGCUCUCCUGUCAGAUACGCGCCGGUGCACUUAACUGUGUGCCGGUCAGGCUUCGGCCGGCGUUCUGGCUCUUUUACUUUGAGUAAAUUAGAGUGUUCAAAGCAGGCAAAAUUUCAGCCACUGAAUACAUUAGCAUGGGAUAAUGGAAUAGGACUUUGGUUCUAUUUUGUUAGUUUCUAGGACCGAAGUAAUGAUUAAUAGGGACAGUUGGGGGCAUUAGUAUUUAAUUGUCAGAGGUGAAAUUCUUGGAUUUAUUAAAGACUAACUACUGCGAAAGCAUUUGCCAAGGAUGUUUUCAUUAAUCCCG